AGAGUUUGAUCCUGGCUCAGAUUGAACGCUGGCGGCGUGCCUAACACAUGCAAGUCGAUCGGUAACGCGGGGCAACCUGGCGACGAGAGGCGGACGGGUGAGUAAUGCUUGGGAAUCUGCCUAUUAGUGGGGGAUAACCAGCCGAAAGGUUGGCUAAUACCGCAUACGCACUACGGUGGAAAGCUGGGGACCGCAAGGCCUGGCGCUAUUAGAUGAGCCCAAGUCGGAUUAGCUAGUUGGUGAGGUAAUGGCUCACCAAGGCGACGAUCCGUAGCUGGUUUGAGAGAACGACCAGCCACACCGGAACUGAGACACGGUCCGGACUCCUACGGGAGGCAGCAGUGGGGAAUAUUGGACAAUGGGCGAAAGCCUGAUCCAGCGACGCCGCGUGGGUGAAGAAGGCCUGCGGGUUGUAAAGCCCUUUCGGUUGGGAAGAAAAGUGUCGACCUAACACGUCGGCACCUUGACGUAACCAACAAAAGAAGCACCGGCUAACUCUGUGCCAGCAGCCGCGGUAAUACAGAGGGUGCGAGCGUUAAUCGGAAUUACUGGGCGUAAAGCGCGCGUAGGCGGUUGGACAAGUCGAGUGUGAAAUCCCCGGGCUCAACCUGGGAGCUGCAUUCGAAACUGUUCGGCUAGAGUAUGGGAGAGGGAAGUGGAAUUUCAGGUGUAGCGGUGAAAUGCGUAGAUAUCUGAAGGAACAUCAGUGGCGAAAGCGACUUC
rnacentral:rRNA from 1 species